rnacentral:lncRNA from 10 species
UGGGCAAAUCAACUUGAGGCCAGGAGUUCAAGACCAGCCUGGCCAACAUGGUGAAACCCCAUCUCUACUAAAAACACAAAAAAUUAGCCAGGCAUGGUGGUGCACACCUGUAAUCCCAGCUACUCGGGAGGCUGAGGCAUGAGAAUUGCUUGAGCCUGGGAGGCGGAGGUUGGAAUGAGCCGAGAUUAUACCACUGCACUCCAGCCUGGGAAAUAGAGGGAAAAUAAAAUUUUAUUUUAUUUAUGUAUUAAAAAUAAAUAAAAUAAAUUAUCCAGUCUCAGGUAUUUCUUUAUAGCAGAGUGAAAAUGGGCUAAUACAACCCUCAUGACCUAAUUACCUCCCAAAGGCCCCACCUCCAAAUACUAUCACACCGGAGAUUAGGACUUCAAUAUAAGAAUUUUGGGAGGAUACAAACAUUCAGUCCAUAGCAAGGUGCUUAGAGUACAGUGGAGGAGACAGAGCUAUGAACAGAUUAUGUCUAGAUAGGUCUAUAGUGGACACUGUGGUGCACUGCCCAGAUCACCGCUUCAAGAUGGAGACACUCUUCCUCCCUAUGCAGAGUUGCCCAUUAAAGACUCAGAUGAGUCCAUCCCCAGGAAUUGCCCUUGGCUGAAGGGAGCUGUCUUCCCCAAGGUUAAUGCCCCUUCCUGGAAUUGGGGCAGUCUGCAUCCAAUGACUGGCCAAUGACUGGCCAUUGAGGGAGUACCAAGGCCAGUCUCCUUGUCUCAACUGGAGUAAACACUGAAAGGUUACCCAGUCAGCUGAGGCCUCUGCUGCAACUGCACCACAGUUCAACUCUUCCUUUACCCAGUUCUGCUUCUCUCACUCCCUUAUAGGUGUUGUUCCUGAGAACACACUCCAAAACAUCCCAUCUGCAUAUAAAUCUCCAUCUCUGAGUCCAUUUUACAGGGAACCCCACCUAAGACAAGAUGCAGCUUAGAAAAUUAUUAUUAGGAAAAGCUGUCCUAUUCACAGUUGCCAGAGCCUACUUUCCAAAUAGAAAACACUAGUUACCUUGGAAGAAGUCUUUGGAGAAGAAUCACCAGGAUGGCUUAUCUACAUUGUAUAAAUAUAGAGAAGGAGGCACCCAUUACCUGGGAGAAAGAGGGGACAGAGUAUUUGCAGUGUGAGAAAACCUGGUCCCAGUGUACAGAGCUGGUCUGUUGGGGAGAAUGUGGAUAAUUUUGCAUAGAGGACAAGAAGCUUCCUGGGAGGGGAGGAAUGGAGACCUGGAACCCUCUCCCUUUUGAGGUUUAUAUAACUCCUCUGAUAAAUGGGGCAGUCCCAACUGAGGUCCCCUGGUGAGAAAAGAGAAAAAGGCUCUAGAGAAGAACUCACUAGGAGCAAAGGAGAAGUCCCUGGGAAGCCCCUCACGUCCCAGUCAUCCUGGUGUGAAAGUGGGCUUUGGGGAAAAGAAUGAUCAUAAGAUUGUAAGUUAAAGAGCCAAAGAGGGAAAGAUUUCUAACAAGACAACACUGAGGGCAUGGGAUCACCUUCCCCCCGAGGACCUCUUGGCCGGUGAGGAAUAUUAACUUGAAAGACUGUCAUCUCAGCAGCAGCAGACAAGCACAUACUGGACUACAAAACCAACUUUUAAUACCAGCACUGUAGAGUAGUAACAGAAUCAACCACAGUGGAAAACAGGGGCCUACUGGAAACUGGUGAGAAUUUCCAGUUCUAGUUCUCUAAUGUGAGCCACUAGAGUUUCCACAAAUUGGCGAAAGGAGGCUGUUACCAAUUUAUUUAACACUCAAAAAGAAUGUGAUUUUAUUGGUACUUUAAUCUGGUGAGGGGGGUCAUAUGGUUACAAGUAAUUCCAAAACAAAGUGAAUAGUAC